ensembl:lncRNA
UGUUGUGUACGUGUUGUACUAAGCAUCCAUACCCAUGUACACUCAGGUCUGAAGGAGAAGGCUGUGCUAGUCCAGACUCGUGAGGAGACUGCUGCUCCUGUGGAGGCUGUACCCGAGGAACCUGCUCAAGAAGAGGUGAUGGAGCCUGACCCUGUGCUAGUGGAGGAAGUGAUCCAGGCGUCUGUGGCAGAUGACACCGCUGCCCCUCCAGAGCCUGAGCCUGAAGCAGCAGAGCCAGAGCCUGAGGUGGCUGAGCCUGAGCCUGAGCCAGAGCCAGAGCCAGAGGAGGUGAUAGAGGAGGAGCCAGAGGUCCUGGAAGAGGAGCUUCCAGCUGUGGAGGAAGAGCCAGCUGAGGAGGCCGCUCCAGUAGAGGAGGAGCCAGCAGCAGAAGAGCCCGUAGCUGAGGAGGCUGAAGAACCAGCCUUGGACCAGAUGGUGGAGGAGCUCACUCAACAGGUGGAAGCCGCCCUGGAGGAGGCUGCUGAUGCUGCAGAGGUUGAGGAGGAAGAGGAGGCACCACCAGCAGAAGAAGAGGCUGUGGAGGAGGAACUAGCUGCAGAAGAUGAAGUAGUAGAGGAGGAGGCCCCAGCUGUUGACGAGGAAGCAGUAGAAGAGGCUGUUGAAGAUGUUCCAGAAGUAGAAGAAGAAGCUAUGGAAGAGGAGGCCCCAGCUGAUGAAGCACCUGCUGAGGAGGAGGUGCCUGAAGCUGAGGAACCUGCCGAGGAACCUGCCGAGGAACCUGCCGAGGAACCUGCCGAGGAACCUGCCGAGGAACCUGCCGAGGAACCUGUCGAGGAACCUGUCGAGGACCCUGUCGAGGAACCUGUUGAGGAACCUGCCGAGGAGCCAGUGGAGGAGCAAGUGGAGGAGCAAGUGGAGGAGCAAGUGGAGGAGCAAGCUGUUGAAGAAGAGGAUGCCCCCUCAGAAGAUGUAGCAGAAGAUGAAGCUCCAGCAGAGGAGG